rnacentral:rRNA from 1 species
GAUGAACGCUGGCGGCGUGCCUAAUACAUGCAAGUCGAGCGAACAGACGAGGAGCUUGCUCCUCUGACGUUAGCGGCGGACGGGUGAGUAACACGUGGAUAACCUACCUAUAAGGCUGGGAUAACUUCGGGAAACCGGAGCUAAUACCGGAUAAUAUAUUGAACCGCAUGGUUCAAUAGUGAAAGACGGUUUUGCUGUCACUUAUAGAUGGAUCCGCGCCGCAUUAGCUAGUUGGUAAGGUAACGGCUUACCAAGGCAACGAUGCGUAGCCGACCUGAGAGGGUGAUCGGCCACACGGGAACUGAGACACGGUCCAGACUCCUACGGGAGGCAGCAGUAGGGAAUCUUCCGCAAUGGGCGAAAGCCUGACGGAGCAACGCCGCGUGAGUGAUGAAGGUCUUCGGAUCGUAAAACUCUGUUAUUAGGGAAGAACAAAUGUGUAAGUAACUAUGCACGUCUUGACGGUACCUAAUCAGAAAGCCACGGCUAACUACGUG